GUUAUUUACCUUGGGUCUUCGCACAAGACCAACUGAGAGGCCAACUCACCCUACUGCCAAGCAAGACCUGACAGGCACGCGGAAAGGUGCAAUGAUGAAGGGUUUUCUCCUGGUUGUGAAUAUCCUGGCAUUAACCCUACCCUUUUUGGUAAAUUAAUUCAAUCGAAUCCAUUUGUGUUAAGACUGGAAAUUUUUAUUUAAGUUCUUGGAUUAGGCAA
rnacentral:lncRNA from 1 species